rnacentral:lncRNA from 1 species
AUGAAUAAAGACAUCAGUUUGAAAUAUAAUUUCUUUCAUAUUUUCACCUUUGGGUACAAAGUUAAGAGCAAUUCAACUUGCCUUACUCAAAUCCGUUUUCCCGUCAGCUUUUGCGCCAAACUUGGCAACAACAUCAAUAGCGCCUGAUUGAACUUUAGAGGCUGAAAUGAAUAAUAAUAAAAGCACAAACAUGGAAGGAACAAUAUUAAGGUGUGGUGCCAUGUUUUUAUUUGGUUUUGAAAUUACACGAAGAAUGGCUUUUCCUUUUGUUUUUUUCCAAAUAUAUAGAAAUUUUGAGAAAAUUACAACCAAUCAAAUAUAUUACUAUUUAAUCAAUGUGGAAAAGUCAUAUGGCCAAGCUUCAAUAUCUAUGAUUAGCUUGUUUCUUUAAUAUCAACUUCGCACGGUUAGAUAGUUUUGUGGUUAAUUUUUUCACAACUUUAAUAAUUUAAACUAUGUGAAAGGAUUUUAUUAUGGAAAGAUUGAAAAGCAUUAUUUUACAUUUUAUCUUCAAAAUAAUAUCUUUACUAGAUGGUGGCGAAUAUAAUUAUGUUCCGUUAAAUUUAUCAAUGUUAUUUCGAAAAGUAUAAUCCUAAUUAUUCAAUAAAAAUUGUUGAUACAGUAAUGUGGUUUGGUGGUUGACGAAGGUUCACACCAUAUUGCCGAAAGCAAUUCUGGUGGUUUCUAGCACUCUUCUCAAUCACUGUUUUCCUGGCCCUAUAAUACCUAGUCGAGCUAACGUUCGCCCUGGACUUCAGCCUAAACUUCACCCACGUAACAAUUAUUAGUGAAAACCUGAUGGGCAUUUGACUUCUCUUUCCAAAUAGAUUUACUUUUAUCUUUUAAUUUCCUCAACUUCUCUCAAGCAUCUUGUAAUUUCUUAUCUUCAUCCCCAUCUAACACGUAUCGAAUUUCACAAGGUAUGACUUUUCACCACCAACACCAACCCUUUCAUUAUCACCCUUGUAUGAAUCCUCACGUUCACCUUUACCCUCAUCCCCACCCCUCAUUCUAGAAGAUACAAACUGACCAUGAGAUAAAAUGGAUCGAAUUAGUGGGAAAAUAUUGAACCUAAAUAGAUGAUCGGCAUUCUAUGAUAGUAACCUGCAUUUGACAAGGUAAAUGGACAAAGCUUUACAAGCUUAGCUUUCGUAACAUUAUAUAUUGGGGAGAUCGAUCAUGGUACUUUUAGUAGAUUGAGUCUACAACUAAAUAAAUUCUAAUUAAGAUUUUAUUUAAGCCCUAAUUAUUUAUGUACGAUCGAUCCCUCUGCUAGCUUAAUAUAACUCUAAGUAGAUUGCAUAAUAAGAACUGAUUGAAUGUAUGGAUGCAAAUGAUAUAUUAGAAUUAGAUGGAAUGAAUUACUAUUCCAUGUAAAUGCGAUUUCAUGAGAAUGGAAAAGAUGACCCGGAAUUAAUUUAAUUCCGUCGGUUUGUUAUUUAAUUCAAUGAAUAAAUUAAAUAAAUAAGUCCAAAGUGAGGAUUAAAUUAAGUAGUUAACGUAGUUAUAUUUUGUUCAGAUAAUUAAAUUAAUUUGCAUGUAAAUUCUAGUCUGGAAAAGCUUUCAUGAUUCUAACAAAAAUUGAAUGGGGUUUUGUAAAUUAAGUAGUGGAAAUAAUUAAAUUUAAUGAAAUAUUUAAUUUCAAAAAACUUAAUUCAUGGAAGAAUAUAUGCUAUUGGGUUAGAUAAUCAUAUGGUCUUGAUUUCUUAUUUAAGUCAAGAGAGGUAGGCUCGUAUAAUUAAACUGGAGAACAAACCACUAAGGUAAGUGUGCCUCCGCACACAAAGAGAGUUAUCUCUUGGAGUCGCUGGCCAUGGGGUUAAAAAUGUCCUAGUUGGACUUUAGUUCUUCUAUAUUAUUUAUUUUACGUACAUCGGAUACAAAUAUAACUCUUGCAUAUGUUUCUUUAUCAAUACCCAAUUUAUGUAAAAAAAAACCAAGGACAAUAUAUACUAAGAGAAAACUUUGUAGAAAUUUAUUGAAAUAUUAGUUAGAUUCUAUUUUCUUUCAACUCAAAUCAAUUCUAUCGUUUUAGACUUUGUAAUUUAGAUUUUUAAGAUUAUAAUGACAUUCUUCUAAAGAGAAUAAUUGAAUUAUAGGAGUUGUUUUCGAUUGGGUGGAACACAAAGAGGUAGUUGACAUACCUCCUUGAUUAGUCUCGGUUUACGUCUUCUUUUCAGUUUUGGAUAGGACGCAAAGAGCUAGAUGCAUAGUUGCUUGAGAAGUCUCGAUUCACGUCUUGUGCUUUACUUUUUCAGUUACAUCCCACUUUCCAAGCACCUGAGUGUUCAAGAAUAGGGAAGAAAAUCGUUCAGUAGAAAGGUUGAAGACAUUGGACUACUAUUCGAAUUGAUCAAGACAAUGAAGGCAUCUCCCAAACUUUCCUUGCGACUUGGACAUCCCCUAAGCCUUGGACCACAACGAUUUAAUUUGAUCAAAUUUAUUACUUUAGAUGUCACGAUAAAUGCCCAUUUUACUAUAGAAAUUAAAACUCUAAUGUUCCUACCCUAGCUACUUUUCUAAAUGCAUUUCCAACAUGAACCCCGAAUCAGAAAAGAAACCAUGAAAAAAAAAGAGUUUCAAGCCAAACACACAAAAAUAAGAAAAAGAGACUAACCUUUGAGAAUCUAAAGGCAAAAACUACACAUCACAUCAACAAAUUUAGGGAUCUUUAAGUGAUAAUCGCAAGAUACCCAAACACUACACUUAAUCUCGAUGUAAAUAUCUCACCUUUCUAAAAAUCUUUAUACAGUUCCACAAAAUGUUCUCUCAUUCUCCUUUUUGGGGUUCAAUUUGUUUAUAUGAAAUAAUUAAACAUAAAAUGGCGUCACAUCAUUAUCGAAUAAUGUGGUUAAUGAGUCCCCAAUAGAUUCGAACAUUCGAGAAGAAAGACGCUGUGCAAGUUUGGAGAAGAAGCUUGGUAGAUUAGAAAAGCGCUAGUUUUGGCCGUGGACUAUAAAGACCUAGUAAUUAUUACUGACCUAUUCAAUUCAGAAAUUAGAGAUCAUUCUUGAUUGUGUUGGAAACAUUCGUUUAGAAAAUGAUUGUUUGGAACAACAAAAAAAAUUAAAAAUUUCUCAACCCAAGCAGUUGUCAUAUUUAUAGGGACAAACCCUUUUACCAAAAUCAUACUUGUGCUCUGGAUUAGGCGGUCUAAGUUGUUUCUCAAUAUUCUACCAACACGAUCUUCUCAACUAUUCAAAAACCUCGGCUAGUUGCUCUAAUCCAUGAAAGGAAGAAAGCUAUGAAAACUUUCUAUUGAUGUUGGAGUGGCGAAUAUUGAUGUCCCUUUAUGGGCCAAAAACUUAAAAAGUAAACAUUCAUAUUUUUAAUUUUUUUUGAAUUAAAUCUCAAUAAAGUUUUACGAUGUCGAUGCUUCACAUCGUGUGUGGUUGACCUAGCCUAUGCUCUCUAUUUAUAGAAAAAUCGCAAGAGUCUUGGUCGAACAAGAAGAAGAAAAUAUAUAAUAACAUUUUAAAAGAGAAUACACAUAAUUCUCUAGUAGGAAUAUGUAUGGGCUUCAACACCCUCUCUUUAGAGAUAGGGUUGUCGCCCAUCUUACGUGAGAUGGGGUCAUCGGGUCUAUCUCAUGUAUUUGGUGUAAUUAUAUGUGUCAUUUAGUAAUUUAAUCGACGCAUAUAAUUUAACCAACCAAAUAAAAAAUUUUCUAUUUCCCAAAAUAUUAAUAAUUUAAUUAAUUAAUUGAAAUAAAUUUUACUAAUUCCAACAAUUAAAUUUUUUUCCAAACCUAGUUCUAAUUCCGUUAAAUUCAUGACAUAUUUACCACACUAGAAUCUAUGAGUAAAUGAAUCUAAUUAUUUUGUUCAACCAGAUUGCGUUAAUUAAUUAAUUUAAUUUUUACUUCAAACACCGGUUCAGUGAUUACUAUUAAUUAAAUAAUAAUUCGAAUAAAUUAAUUUAGUCUUCAAGUCAUCUCUCUUUUAUAACGAGAAAUUCCAUUCACUACGGAUAGUGAUACAUUCGAUCCUUUUCUGUAAUUCAUCAAUUUUAUUUAUUCACCUCAUCAAUUCAAAUGCAAACCAUCAAGGUUGUAUAGAGCUAAUAGAGGGGCCCACUGGAUAUAUAAUUAGAGCUCAAAUAGUUUGUACUUAAGUGCCAUGACCGACCUCUUCUUAUUAUAACUCAUUAUGAAAACAACUCACCAAGUGCUCGUCCAAUGAAUUUUUCGUAUGUGCUAUAGCCUCAUAGGAUAUCCCCAAUCCCUUUCAUUUAUAUCCGUUCACCCAAAAUGAUAUUAUCAUAUCUCAUGGUAACCAUCACAUCUUCUUUCAUGAAGAAUGUUACGUCAACAGAAAAAGAAACAAACCAAUGAACAAAUAUAAUCAUAUGUCUAAGCACACAAAUAAUACAGGAAUAUGUUGUUCAAAAAAUUUGGACGACGAACUUUCAUUUUAAUUAAAAUCUCAAAUUUAAUAUUUUAUUUUCCUUAAAACUGCUAUGUUGGAAGACGGUUUUUAUAAAAAAUUACACGUAGAUAAAGAAAAUUUCAAUCAUUAAUUCUAAUUCAAUAUAGAAACUCAGUGAUGGUUUUGUUAUUAGGUUAAAUUAACUAAAUUUUAUCACACUUCGGCUCUUUGUAUUGAUGUGUGUAUUAAAAGCAUUGAAUUCAUAGCAAAAGUUUAAUAAUGGAAAAGAAUUAAAAUGAAAAAGAACUGUUUUUAUGUAAUAUGAAUAAAUAUAUUAAUUACAAUUGCAUUGAAUCUGUUGGUAUGGUUUAAGCGGUGGCACUUAGGGUUUUUGGGACAGGGCUGGAACAUGGAGUCGGGUUUAAUUUGCCACUAGUUUUAGGCUUGACAUUCAAACAUUGGGAUGUUGCGGGUUCAGGUCCGGUGUGCUUAAUAUCAAUGUCUGCAAGUUCCACAUUUUGACAUGGCGAAGAACCGCUGCAAAUAAACUUGACAGCUUCUGGAAGCGCAGAUGUGCCACGGAUGUUCUUGAAGCUAAUGUUGCUUAGUUUAACUUUCGAUUCUUCCUGCAUCAACACAACAACGAUUCAAUGAUGAAUUAAAUAUUGUCACUCUAUUAGGAUUUUGAUAAGAAUGUACAUACAUUUAUCUUGCAUUUACUCCAUGGGCAAUAUUUUUGAUCAAUUAGGAUAGGGGAAGAGACAUUGUUCACGAUAAUAUCCUCAAAAUGUACAUCUGAUACUAUCCCAGGAGAUUCGCCUGGCCAAGUUUUGAUUCGAGCUCCAUUCGAAGUAUUAGUGAUGGUGCAGUUUGUGACUUUAACUCCCUCAACUGGCUCUUCAUUUGGGUACUUUCCAAGACUACCGAUACUUAUACCAUGUCCUGGUCCACAAGUUAUAUCUUUUAUGUCCAAAUUUUUAGUGCCAUCUCCGAUAGAAAUACAAUCAUCACCAGUUUUAAUCUCACAUCCAAUAAUAUUUACGCCGUCUGAUUUGCCCAUGUGAAUCCCAUCUGUGUUUGGGCUAUCUGCCGGUGCCUCUACCGUGAAACGUUCGAGGGUAAUGUUUUUGCAUGCAAAAACAUUAACGUGGAAUAGUUUACUGUCUUUGCUAGUUAUAUCUUGUAUCAAUGCGUUGGUCAGAAAGUCAAACCUUAUAUUCUGUUUAAUUUUGGAGUUAACAAAGUAACACACGAAACAAAGAUGUUAGUUAUAAUUAUAUUUUGAUAAUAAUAAGAGGAAAGAGAAUAAAUAAAUUUUGGCAAGAGGGAAGAAAGCUGACAACGGGGAGUUUGACACGAAAUGCACGAUUGUGGGGAUCUUUAUUCUUCUCAUAAGCAAUGCUUCCCUGACCAUCGAAAAUUCCUCCGCCGGACAUUUUGAAAUUUUCAAUACUAUAGAAUCUAACCCAAUUAGGGUCCUUGAAAGCACCAGGAUCAGCCGGAGCCUUUAUAGUGCCCUGAACAUUAAUCUCAAUAGGAGCCUUGCAUGGACCUUCUAAGUUUACUUUUGAUAAUAAAUAUGUCCCUUUAGGAAUCACAACUGUUGAUGGGGUUACAGAGGCACAUGCUUCUUUCCAAGCAUCCAAAAAUGGCUAAAAUGAAAUGAAUAAAGACAUCAGUUUGAAAUAUAAUUUCUUUCAUAUUUUCACCUUUGGGUACAAAGUUAAGAGCAAUUCAACUUGCCUUACUCAAAUCCGUUUUCCCGUCAGCUUUUGCGCCAAACUUGGCAACAACAUCAAUAGCGCCUGAUUGAACUUUAGAGGCUGAAAUGAAUAAUAAUAAAAGCACAAACAUGGAAGGAACAAUAUUAAGGUGUGGUGCCAUGUUUUUAUUUGGUUUUGAAAUUACACGAAGAAUG